UAAUGGCAGUGAUGAUUCUGACACUGGUUGCUUUCCUGAUGUACACACAUGAGGGUUGCACAGUCACUACCUCAUCUGAGCCAUCU
rfam:Picoides pubescens contig24816, whole genome shotgun sequence.